rnacentral:rRNA from 1 species
UACGUAGGGUGCGAGCGUUAAUCGGAAUUACUGGGCGUAAAGCGUGCGCAGGCGGUGAUGUAAGACAGAUGUGAAAUCCCCGGGCUCAACCUGGGAACUGCAUUUGUGACUGCAUCGCUGGAGUGCGGCAGAGGGGGAUGGAAUUCCGCGUGUAGCAGUGAAAUGCGUAGAUAUGCGGAGGAACACCGAUGGCGAAGGCAAUCCCCUGGGCCUGCACUUACGCUCAUGCACGAAAGCGUGGGGAGCAAACAGG